rnacentral:rRNA from 1 species
CUGAAACCGUGUACGUACAAGCAGUGGGAGCACGCUUAGGCGUGUGACUGCGUACCUUUUGUAUAAUGGGUCAGCGACUUAUAUUCUGUAGCAAGGUUAACCGAAUAGGGGAGCCGAAGGGAAACCGAGUCUUAACUGGGCGUUAAGUUGCAGGGUAUAGACCCGAAACCCGGUGAUCUAGCCAUGGGCAGGUUGAAGGUUGGGUAACACUAACUGGAGGACCGAACCGACUAAUGUUGAAAAAUUAGCGGAUGACUUGUGGCUGGGGGUGAAAGGCCAAUCAAACCGGGAGAUAGCUGGUUCUCCCCGAAAGCUAUUUAGGUAGCGCCUCGUGAAUUCAUCUCCGGGGGUAGAGCACUGUUUCGGCAAGGGGGUCAUCCCGACUUACCAACCCGAUGCAAACUGCGAAUACCGGAGAAUGUUAUCACGGGAGACACACGGCGGGUGCUAACGUCCGUCGUGAAGAGGGAAACAACCCAGACCGCCAGCUAAGGUCCCAAAGUCAUGGUUAAGUGGGAAACGAUGUGGGAAGGCCCAGACAGCCAGGAUGUUGGCUUAGAAGCAGCCAUCAUUUAAAGAAAGCGUAAUAGCUCACUGGUCGAGUCGGCCUGCGCGGAAGAUGUAACGGGGCUAAACCAUGCACCGAAGCUGCGGCAGCGACGCUUAUGCGUUGUUGGGUAGGGGAGCGUUCUGUAAGCCUGCGAAGGUGUGCUGUGAGGCAUGCUGGAGGUAUCAGAAGUGCGAAUGCUGACAUAAGUAACGAUAAAGCGGGUGAAAAGCCCGCUCGCCGGAAGACCAAGGGUUCCUGUCCAACGUUAAUCGGGGCAGGGUGAGUCGACCCCUAAGGCGAGGCCGAAAGGCGUAGUCGAUGGGAAACAGGUUAAUAUUCCUGUACUUGGUGUUACUGCGAAGGGGGGACGGAGAAGGCUAUGUUGGCCGGGCGACGGUUGUCCCGGUUUAAGCGUGUAGGCUGGUUUUCCAGGCAAAUCCGGAAAAUCAAGGCUGAGGCGUGAUGACGAGGCACUACGGUGCUGAAGCAACAAAUGCCCUGCUUCCAGGAAAAGCCUCUAAGCAUCAGGUAACAUCAAAUCGUACCCCAAACCGACACAGGUGGUCAGGUAGAGAAUACCAAGGCGCUUGAGAGAACUCGGGUGAAGGAACUAGGCAAAAUGGUGCCGUAACUUCGGGAGAAGGCACGC